CGGUGUUUGGCACCUCGAUGUCGGCUCAUCACAUCCUGGGGCUGAAGUAGGUCCCAAGGGUAUGGCUGUUCGCCAUUUAAAGUGGUACGCGAGCUGGGUUUAGAACGUCGUGAGACAGUUCGGUCCCUAUCUGCCGUGGGCGCUGGAGAACUGAGGGGGGCUGCUCCUAGUACGAGAGGACCGGAGUGGACGCAUCACUGGUGUUCGGGUUGUCAUGCCAAUGGCACUGCCCGGUAGCUAAAUGCGGAAGAGAUAAGUGCUGAAAGCAUCUAAGCACGAAACUUGCCCCGAGAUGAGUUCUCCCUGAGACUUUAGGUCUCCUGAAGGAACGUUGAAGACGACGACGUUGAUAGGCCGGGUGUGUAAGCGCAGCGAUGCGUUGAGCUAACCGGUACUAAUGAACCGUGAGGCUUAACCUUACA
rnacentral:rRNA from 1 species